rnacentral:rRNA from 1 species
GGCGAAAAGAACCCCGGCGAGGGGAGUGAAAAAGAACCUGAAACCGUGUACGUACAAGCAGUGGGAGCACAGGUUUACCUGUGUGACUGCGUACCUUUUGUAUAAUGGGUCAGCGACUUAUAUUCUGUAGCAAGGUUAACCGAAUAGGGGAGCCGGAGGGAAACCGAGUCUUAAUUGGGCGUUAAGUUGCAGGGUAUAGACCCGAAACCCGGUGAUCUAGCCAUGGGCAGGUUGAAGGUUGGGUAACACUAACUGGAGGACCGAACCGACUAAUGUUGAAAAAUUAGCGGAUGACCUGUGGCUGGGGGUGAAAGGCCAAUCAAACCGGGAGAUAGCUGGUUCUCCCCGAAAGCUAUUUAGGUAGCGCCUCGUGAAUUCAUCUCCGGGGGUAGAGCACUGUUUCGGCUAGGGGGCCAUCCCGGCUUACCAACCCGAUGCAAACUGCGAAUACCGGAGAAUGUUAUCACGGGAGACACACGGCGGGUGCUAACGUCCGUCGUGAAGAGGGAAACAACCCAGACCGCCAGCUAAGGUCCCAAAGUCAUGGUUAAGUGGGAAACGAUGUGGGAAGGCCCAGACAGCCAGGAUGUUGGCUUAGAAGCAGCCAUCAUUUAAAGAAAGCGUAAUAGCUCACUGGUCGAGUCGGCCUGCGCGGAAGAUGUAACGGGGCUAAACCAUGCACCGAAGCUGCGGCAGCGA